rnacentral:rRNA from 1 species
UACAGAGGGGGCAAGCGUUGUUCGGAAUUACUGGGCGUACAGGGCGCGUAGGCGGCCUGUUAAGUCGAACGUGAAAUCCCUGGGCUCAACCCAGGAACUGCGUCCGAUACUGGCAGGCUUGAAUUCGGGAGAGGGAUGCGGAAUUCCAGGUGUAGCGGUGAAAUGCGUAGAUAUCUGGAGGAACACCGGUGGCGAAGGCGGCAUCCUGGACCGAUAUUGACGCUGAGGCGCGAAAGCCAGGGGAGCAAACGGG